rnacentral:tRNA from 1 species
GCCUGUUUGGUCUAGUGGUUAAGACAUCAGACUACAAAGCAGGAAACUGUGAGUUCUAUUCCCACUUUAGGCA